rnacentral:rRNA from 1 species
AUUGAACGAUGGCGGCAGGCCUAACACAUGCAAGUCGAACGAGUGGCGGACGGGUGAGUUAUGUCUGGGAAACUGCCUGAUGGAGGGGGAUAACUACGGGACAUGGUAGCUCAUCCCGCAUACCAUCAGAGGUGCCCAGAUGGGAUGAGCUUGGUGGUGGGGUAACGGCUCACAAAGGCGACGCCCCCUAGCUGGUCUGAGAGGAUGACCAGCCACACUGGAACUGAGACACGGUCCAGACUCCUACGGUAGGCAGCAGUGGGGAAUAUUGCACAAGGGGCGCAAGCCUGAUGCAGCCAUGCUGCGUGUAUGAAGAAGGCCUUCGGGUUGUAAAGUACUUUCAGCGGGGAGGCGUUACCCGCAGAAGAAGCACCGGCUAACUCCGUGCCAGCCGCCGCGGUAAUUC